GUGCUCGUUUUGGCAGCACAUAUACUAAAAUUGGUAUGAUAUAGAGAAGAUUAGCAUGGCCCGUGAACAAAGAUGACACACAAAAGAGUUAGAAGGGGCAGUCAGGA